GUUUCCCUUCUAUGGUAUUGAGAGUUGAUGUUGCACACGUAAUUCAUGUGGUUUAUCGAUGGCCUGUUUUAAAAAGUUAUCCUUUUAAGGAAAGGCAUUUGAUUACAUAGGAUCAAGUCGUAUGAUCUACAAUAUGAAGCAGAACAAUUUUAACGCUCUCGGUGGGAUUAAUCUGAAGUUGAAUGAUAUCAAGAGUGUGAUCGAGUUCGGCUAACUGGGCAAAGGGAAAAUAGUUCUCCAUAGCAGCAGUAAAGAUGAUACCAUAGAUCGUUUGAGUAAAGUGUUGAAUGCAUCGAUUCUAGAUGAUAGCGUACCACCUACAUCUGUGCAAAGUUUUCUGGAGGCGAGGCCCAGUCUAACGACUGUUGUUAUAACCAAUCAUGGAAAAAAUUUAAAAAUCGAUACUACAACAGUAUCUUGGACGACGGGGAAAAUCUUGGUUUUAAUAGAAAUGAUAGUGACGGGCGAGUCAGCGCCGCAGUCUGCCGAUCUGCCGAUACCGCUGGAAGAUCUCGUCGCAGAAAUGUUAUAUUGCUACAUCCAAAGUGCUAAAUGCACUCGGUUUCAUACAGACUCGACAUCCGGUGCUAAAUUGAUCAAUCAGAUUUUGCCACUGUACGUCGGUGAGCACCGAGCGCUCAAUGCCGUGACGACGUUAACUGGACAGCUUCUAGCCUUGCUGACUGGCGAGAAACUCAGCGACAUGAAUGAAACGACUUGUUACAAAAACCGCCUCACAUGGAUGAGUGGAUACAAUUUUACAGAAAUAUGCAUAAACUCAACCGUCAAUUAUAGUACAGCUGUGAGUCCGGCAUUUAUCAUCGACGGAUAUAAUAUGAAGUCUGAUGUGUACUCUAUGUAGACAGAGUCCAUGUGGCAAACGUUGAGCGUUAGAAUGUUUCUUAAACCAUCAGCAGCGACAGAACGUUUCAGCAAGAUCUUGGGUAGUCUGGUUGCCGGCACCUUAAUCAUAUUGGUGUGGUUUAUUAAUAACUGAGCUGAUGUGUUAUUUAAUUCGAGGAGAACCGUCGAUUGCUAGGAACAUGCCGCGGACCACAUCAAUGACCAGGUUGGAUCAUCAUCACCAAGAUCAGGAUGUUCCAAUAACUAGCCUUUAACUGUAUGUGUGGUGCGCCCUCGGACAAUCUAUAAUUUAAUUCAAAAUAUUCAAAUAGUGUUACACGCGUAUCAUUGCCAUUGCGGUUACUUUAUUUAUCGUUAUUUAUCGUUUCUCAUACAUCACGUUCAAUUGUGAAAAUAAGUGAUACGUUUUUAAUAUCUUAAGCUCGUUUUAGACUAUGCAAUCAACGGCAAACAAUUCUUGCAGCAAAAAUUUGCUCAAGAAAUUGCGUCAAAUCUAACACAAUAUAUUAUAAUAUAUUGCAUAGUCUAAAACGGGCUUUAGUGUAAAUAUAUUUCUUUGCAUUUUUCCAAAUUAUUAAUUAAAAAUAUGUAUUAAAAAAAACGGACAAUAAAACACUCCAUCAUUUUAACAGCAU
rnacentral:sRNA from 1 species